UACGUAGGGGGCAAGCGUUGUCCGGAAUUAUUGGGCGUAAAGAGCGCGUAGGCGGUCCGAUAAGUCGGCUGUGAAAGUCAAGGGCUCAACCCUUGGAAGCCGGCCGAUACUGUCGGACUAGAGUCCGGAAGAGGCGGAGUGGAAUUCCCGGUGUAGCGGUGAAAUGCGCAGAUAUCGGGAGGAACACCAAUUGCGAAGGCAGCUCGCUGGGACGGUACUGACGCUGAGGCGCGAAAGCGGUGGGGAGCAAACAGGG
rnacentral:rRNA from 1 species